rnacentral:rRNA from 1 species
AUUGAACGCUGGCGGCAGGCCUAACACAUGCAAGUCGAGCGAGCGGCGGACGGGUGAGUCAUAUCUGGGAAACUGCCUGAUGGAGGGGGAUAACUACUGGAAACGGUAGCUCAUACCGCAUACCAUCAGAUGUGCCCAGAUGGGAUUAGCUGGUAGGUGGGGUAACGGCUAACCCAGGUGACGAUACCUAACUGGUCGGAGAGGAUGACCAGCAACACUGGAACUGAGACACGGUCCAGACUCAUACGGGAGGCAGCAGUGGGGAAUAUUGCACAAUGGGCGCAAGCCUGAUGCAGCCAUGCCGCGUGUGUGAAGAAGGCCUUCGGGUUGUAAAGCACUUUAAGCGGGGAGGCGUUACCCGCAGAAGAAGCACCGGCUAACUCCGUGCCAGCAGCCGCGGUAAUUC